rnacentral:rRNA from 1 species
GUGUCAGCCGCCGCGGUAAUACGUAGGCAGCAAGCGUUGUUCGGAAUUACUGGGCGUAAAGAGUGUGUAGGCGGUGUUCUAAGUUUGUCGUGAAAUCUCCCGGCUUAACUGGGAGGGUGCGGCGAAAACUGGAAUGCUAGAGGAUGGGAGAGGUAAGCGGAAUUCCUGGUGUAGCGGUGAAAUGCGUAGAUAUCAGGAGGAACACCUGUGGUGUAGACAGCUUACUGGACCAUUUCUGACGCUGAGACACGAAAGCGUGGGUAGCAAACAGGAUUAGAAACCCCCGUAGUCC